GCCGCCACCACGUAAACAUGGACGCCUGAAUUCUGUCGUAUAGCGAAUUUGUAGUCUGCACAGUUCUUGAUAUAUAAAGGAUUUCUGGAUCAACUGUAUGGAUGAGUUGAUGAAGAUCUUGGAAGAUGUACAGUGAAGAACAUCAGACCUGGCUGUACGGUGCCAGAUGAUGUGCUGCCGUAACAAAUGAGAGAAAAUGUGGAUGACAGCUAGCAGUUACCCGUUUUGAACACCAGUAUGAAGCGGACAUAAGUGUUACUGGCGAUGAAUACUUAAUCUUCAAUCAACAGCGCUGCUGCUGUGUCCAGCCAUUGUGUUGAAGCUAAUAAACAAAUAUUCACCUUCAGUCAUUUUAUUUAACCCUUCUGACUUUGUUCCUUGUUGACUCUUUCUUUCAAUGUGCAUUUUGUAUUGGAUGCUUUGAAGAAUAUUUAGAAUAUGAAUGAUCUAAAAUUUGAUUUAGUUAUUACUUACUGUAGAGGUACUGUCAUUGUAGUAGUUAUUAUUAUUUUGAUUACUGUUGGAUGCAAUAAAAAAUAUUAACUUUAAAACACUGCAUGUUAGUAGAUAUUAGAAUGCUAAUAAUAUUUAUAUAACUUACUAC
rnacentral:misc_RNA from 1 species